UUAAAUUGAAGAGUUUGAUCAUGGCUCAGAUUGAACGCUGGCGGCAGGCCUAACACAUGCAAGUCGAACGGUAACAGRAAGCAGCUUGCUGCUUUGCUGACGAGUGGCGGACGGGUGAGUAAUGUCUGGGAAACUGCCCGAUGGAGGGGGAUAACUACUGGAAACGGUAGCUAAUACCGCAUAACGUCGCAAGACCAAAGAGGGGGACC
rnacentral:rRNA from 1 species